rnacentral:lncRNA from 1 species
AAAAUAGUUUUAAAAGUUUUUGUUUUGUGCUCCCACAUCUCGUGAUUUCCCUGCGUCUAGGUAAGUGUAGAGUUACUUUCUUGAACUUCAACACACUUGAGAUUUACCCUACGGGGGUGUGUUGUCAUCUUUGAACUCUAGGGGUCAUCAGAUCCAGCCUACCUCCUGCUUUUGUAAAUAAAGUUUUAUUGGAACAGCUAUGUGUUAUCGAAACACAUGCUUUGUCUAUGUCUGCUUUCACACUGAAGGGCAGAGUAGCAAAAGAGUGUCCAGCCCAAAACAAAAUAUUUGCCUCCUCUUUACAGAAAGGGUUUUCUGGUCUCUUUCAAAAUUACCAAGCUGCCUUUUGCUCCUGGCUGUCAUCCAGUAUUUACUCCACGCACUUUGAACUCUUCUACUAACCCACUUAAUUAUCCUUUCAUCCAGCCUGCUUUUCUCCAUUGCUCAAGGCCUCCUGAGCAACCUAAAGUGCCCCAUUUCCAUUGAGAUGCUAAUGAUAACACACCCCACUAUUUGUUGAGCACUUGCUAUAUUCCUGGCAAUGCUAAGCACUCCACAUAAAUUAAGGGAACAACAGUCAUUGAAUUGCUUGGCCUAGAGCCUGGCAGGCGGUUGAGCACUCAGUGAUUAUUUUUAACUUUUAC